rnacentral:tRNA from 1 species
UCCGUCGGUAGCUCAGUUGGUAGAGCGGUGGACUGCAGAUCCAUAGGUCGCUGGUUCGGACCCGGUCGACGGAA